rnacentral:rRNA from 1 species
GACGAACGCUGGCGGCGUGCUUAACACAUGCAAGUCGUACGAUGACCCGGCUCUUCGGCGCUGGUGAUUAGUGGCGAACGGGUGAGUAACACGUGGGUGACCCGCCCUGCACUCUGGGAUAAGCCCGGGAAACUGGGUCUAAUACUGGAUACGACCAGUGGCCGCAUGGUCUGCUGGUGGAAAGCCCUUCGGGGUGGUGUGGGAUGGGCCCGCGGCCUAUCAGCUUGUUGGUGGGGUGAUGGCCUACCAAGGCGACGACGGGUAGCCGGCCUGAGAGGGUGUCCGGCCACACUGGGACUGAGACACGGCCCAGACUCCUACGGGAGGCAGCAGUGGGGAAUCUAGCACAAUGGGCGAAAGCCUGAUGCAGCGACGCCGCGUGAGGGAUGACGGCCUUCGGGUUGUAAACCUCUUUCGGCAGGGAACAAGCCUGGGGGUUGUCUUCUGGGUGAGGGUACCAGCGGAAGAAGCACCGGCUAACUACGUG